AUUUUUGAAUGGCAAAAACGGUGGCAAUAGAUCAACACCAAGAAAGAACAAGAAGAAUAGUUGGGACAUAGUGAGUUAGUGACUGCUGAAUCCCUUACCACACUUCGCUUAUUUUUGGAGUAUGUGGGCGGAAAAAUUCUUGUUCUUAUGAAUUACCCAGCAUUAAUGGCCUCCCAGCUAGCUUACGCUUGGAACCAGUGGAGGGGAGGUGAGACGCCAUUAGAAAUAAUGGAUCCGAAGUUGAAAGAAAGUAGUUGUGAAGCAGAAGUGAUGAAGUGCAUCCAGAUUGGAUUAUUGUGUGUUCAAGAGAAAGCAGAGGUAUAG